GACGAACGCUGGCGGCGUGCUUAACACAUGCAAGUCGAACGGAAAGGCCCUGCUUUUGUGGGGUGCUCGAGUGGCGAACGGGUGAGUAACACGUGAGUAACCUGCCCUUGACUUUGGGAUAACUUCAGGAAACUGGGGCUAAUAACGGAUAGGAGCUCCUGCUGCAUGGUGGGGGUUGGAAAGUUUCGGCGGUUGGGGAUGGACUCGCGGCUUAUCAGCUUGUUGGUGGGGUAGUGGCUUACCAAGGCUUUGACGGUAGCCGGCCUGAGAGGGGGACCGGCCACAUUGGGACUGAGAGACGGCCCAGACUCCUACGGGAGGCAGCAGUGGGGAAUAUUGCACAAUGGGCGGAAGCCUGAUGCAGCAACGCCGCGUGCGGGAUGACGGCCUUCGGGUUGUAAACCGCUUUCGCCUGUGACGAAGCGUGAGUGACGGUAAUGGGUAAAGAAGCACCGGCUAACUACGUG
rnacentral:rRNA from 1 species